AUCCAGCUGACGAGUUCCAAAUAGGACGAAAUGCGCUUUGUCCCAGAU
rnacentral:hammerhead_ribozyme from 1 species